GUGCUUGCUCCGCAGCGCAUAUACUAAAAUUGGAACGAUACAGAGAAGAUUAGCAUAACUCCCGAGCAAGGAUGACACGCAAAUUCGUGAGGCGUUCCAUAUUUUU
rnacentral:snRNA from 1 species